AUACUUACCUGGCAGGGGGAAAUACUAUGAUCACGAUAAUGGUUUUCCCAGGGCGAGGCUUAACCAUCACCCUCUGGAUGUGCUGACCCCUGAGAUUUCCCCAAAUGUGGAAGACUUGAGCGCAUAAUUUGUGGUUGUGGGGGACUGCAUUCACCAUCUCCCCUA